rnacentral:rRNA from 1 species
UACGAAGGGAGCUAGCGUUGUUCGGAAUCACUGGGCGUAAAGCGCACGUAGGCGGAUGUGUCAGUCAGGGGUGAAAUCCCGGAGCUCAACUUCGGAACUGCCUUUGAUACAGCACGUCUUGAGUCCGAUAGAGGUGGGUGGAAUUCCUAGUGUAGAGGUGGAAAUUCGUAGAUAUUAGGAAGAACACCGGUGGACGAAGGCGGCCCACUGGAUCGGUGACUGACGCUGAGGUGCGAAAGCGUGGGGAGCAAACAGG